rnacentral:rRNA from 1 species
CCUACGGGGGGCAGCAGUGAGGAAUAUUGGUCAAUGGCCGGAAGGCUGAACCAGCCAUGCCGCGUGAAGGUCAGUGCCCUAUGGGCGUUAAACUUCUUUUGUGCGGGAGCAAUAAUGGUCACGUGUGGCCAGACGAGAGUACCGUACGAAUAAGCAUCGGCUAACUCCGUGCCAGCAGCCGCGGUAAUACGGGGGUUGCAAGCGUUAUCCGGAUUUAUUGGGUUGAAAGGGUGCGUAGGCUGUGAGGUAAGUCAGCGGUGAAAUGCCCCCGAGCAACGGGGUGAAGUGCCAUUGAUACUGCCUUGCUGGAAUGCGGAUGACGUGGGAGGAAUGUGUGGUGUAGCGGUGAAAUGCAUAGAUAUCACACAGAACACCGAUUGCGAAGGCAGCUCACGAAUCCGCGAUUGACGCUGAUGCACGAAAGCGUGGGUAUCAAACAGGAUUAGAUACCCCUGUAGUC